GUAUGUAUGUAUGUAUGAAUCGGAUUGUACAGUAUUAUGUAUCCAUUACGACCGAUCUUACCAAUCGGUUUCGUACUAGAGGUUCAACGGAGUGUUAGCUAACUGCGUUUAUGUAAACCUGCGCUCUUCAGUGAUAGCCGUUAUGA